GGAAGGAUCAUUAACAAAUCCAUGGGGGGGGGAGAGGGGUAGUGGUAUGAUGAUGUGGUUUACUCUUGUAAAUUAUAUUAUCAUCCGCGUUCCUCUCUUCUCUCAACACACAUUUACCCGAGCGGGUCGUGAGACCGGCUUAGGAAAUUUGAUUCUUUGAAAAGGUUAGAUUUUUUUCUAAACUUUUUAUAAAGGGUCAAAUAUAUAAACGCUUGUAAGUUUUGACUGUUUAGUAUAUAUUUAAUUUAUAAAAAUAACAACUUUUAACAAUGGAUCUCUUGGCUCUUGCAACGAUGAAGAACGCAGUGAAAUGCGAAACGUAAUGCGAUUUGCAUAAUUCUGUGAGUCAUCGAGUCUUUGAACGCACAUGGCACUCUCUAGUACUUCUAGGGAGUAUACCUGUUUGAGAAUCAUUAAAAUAUAUCACUCUAGUUAAGAGUGGAUUUGAGAAUUGAAUAUUAUACGUAUGUGUGAUUUCAUUCUUUAAAAGGAUUAGGCGUCAUUACGUAAAGUUUUUAAAAGUUUUUGACACUGUGUGGUAGAGACAGUUAGUCUUGGAUCACGGUCAAGUUAAAGAUAGGGUUAAAUCCUUUACGUGCCUCUCUUUGAAUUUUAAAAAUUUUGAUCUCAAAUCAGGCAAGACUACCCGCUGAACUUAAGCAUAUCAGUAAGCGGAGGAAAAGAAACUAACAAGGAUUCCCUUAGUAACGGCGAGUGAAGCGGGAAAAGCUCAAAUUUAAAAUCUGAGAGGUGUUUCCUCUCCGAAUUGUAGUUUAAAGAGAUACUAUCUGGUUAAAUUUAAAUGCACAAGUCCCUUGGAAUAGGGUAUCACAGAGGGUGAGAAUCCCGUUUGGGCUUUUAAAUUUAACCUUUAUGAGGUAUUCUCAACGAGUCGAGUUGUUUGGGAUUGCAGCUCAAAAUGGGAGGUAAAUUUCUUCUAAGGCUAAAUAUUGGCAAGAGACCGAUAGCGAACAAGUACCGUGAGGGAAAGAUGAAAAGCACCUUGAAAAGGGAGUUAAAUAGUGCGUGAAAUUGUUAAAAGGGAAACGAUUGAAGCCAGUAUUAUUAAUAAUAGCUCAACAAUAAUUAACGGGAUGAUAGUGGCGUUUGGAAAGAGUAAUAUCUUCUAAAUCGAUUAUUUGAACUUGAUGAUUGUGCAUUCUAUUAUUGAUGAGUCAACAUCAGUUUAAUUUAUUGGACAUUACUUUUAGGAAGGUGGUAUUAAUUUUCGAAUUAGUAUUUUAUAGACUUUAAGUAGCACAAUAAAUUAGACUGAGGUGCAUAUGCAAGCUGCAAUUACUUAAUAACAAUGAUUUAUCCCGAUGUUUAGCUCAAUUUGAACAGCUUGCUGAUCAAGUUAGAGGAAAUACGGUAAAGGUUAUUGUGAGUAAUUUUCAGGAUGUUGACGAAAUGGUUUUAAACGACCCGUCUUGAAACACGGACCAAGGAGUCUAACAUAUAUGCAAGUAUUUGAGUGGCAAACUCAAGUGCGUAAUGAAAGUGAAUUAAAGUGGGAACCGUGAGGUGCACCAUUAACCGAUCUUGAUAUCUCUUGAUAGAUUUGAGUAAGAGCAUAUCUGUUGGGACCCGAAAGAUGGUGAACUAUGCCUGAAUAGGGUGAAGCCAGAGGAAACUCUGGUGGAGGCUCGUAGCCGUUAUGACGUGCAAAUCGAUGGUAAAAUUUGGGUAUAGGGGCGAAAGACUAAUCGAACCAUCUAGUAGCUGGUUCCCUC
rnacentral:misc_RNA from 1 species